rnacentral:rRNA from 1 species
UACGUAGGGGCAAGCGUUGUCCGGAAUCAUUGGGCGUAAAGCGCGUGUAGGCGGCCAGAAAAGUCCGCUGUGAAAACUCGAGGCUCAACUUCGAGCUGUCGGUGGAAACUUUCUGGCUAGAGUCCGGAAGAGGAGAAUGGAAUUCCUGGUGUAGCGGUGAAAUGCGCAGAUAUCAGGAAGAACACCCGUGGCGAAGGCGGUUCUCUGGGACGGUACUGACGCUGGAGACGCGAAAGCCGUGGGGAGCGAACAGG